AACUUGACGUCCAGGAAAUUAAGAGAAAGUUUGGUGCUGGAGGAAACAGAAUUGUGGACCAUGUGCCUCUGGAGGAACCACCUGGACAUCAGAGAGAAAAUAAGUGCAGAUUGGAAAACGCAGUCCAGAUGCUUUCUGGGAAUUAUCCAACACAAGAGGAACCACCCAACUCAUUUCCGGUCAUCAGCCUCCACGAUGCAGACUCCCCUCCUUGCCAGGAGAGCAUCCAUUAUGAUGGAUUGCAUCACCAUUAUAAGCGGCGAGAUGGAUGUGGCACAUGCCAUUCAAUGUCUGCUGGAGAUGUACUUCGUCAUUGGUGUGGAGUACCCCCGGCAGAUCAAGCAUACCCUUAGCUUUUCAGAGCAUUAUCUUUUCAAAAUACAAAGUAAAAAAAAAGUGUCCAUCCCUGUUCUGAAAUUAUAUAACCAGAUUAGUUCAUCACUGUUACUGUUGAGUUUUUAAAUAAAAAAAUACAGUCCAUUUUUGAA